AAGUCGUAACAAGGUUUCCGUAGGUGAACCUGCGGAAGGAUCAUUACCUAGAGUUGUAGGCUUUGCCUGCUAUCUCUUACCCAUGUCUUUUGAGUACCUUACGUUUCCUCGGUGGGUUCGCCCACCGAUUGGACAAAUUCAAACCCUUUGCAGUUGAAAUCAGCGUCUGAAAAAACUUAAUAGUUACAACUUUCAACAACGGAUCUCUUGGUUCUG
rnacentral:misc_RNA from 1 species